AUUGAACGCUGGCGGCAGGCCUAACACAUGCAAGUCGAGCGGAUGAAGGGAGCUUGCUCCUGGAUUCAGCGGCGGACGGGUGAGUAAUGCCUAGGAAUCUGCCUGGUAGUGGGGGCUAACGUCCGGAAACGGGCGCUAAUACCGCAUACGUCCUGAGGGAGAAAGUGGGGGAUCUUCGGACCUCACGCUAUCAGAUGAGCCUAGGUCGGAUUAGCUAGUUGGUGGGGUAAAGGCCUACCAAGGCGACGAUCCGUAACCGGUCUGAGAGGAUGAUCAGUCACACUGGAACUGAGACACGGUCCAGACUCCUACGGGAGGCAGCAGUGGGGAAUAUUGGACAAUGGGCGAAAGCCUGAUCCAGCCAUGCCGCGUGUGUGAAGAAGGUCUUCGGAUUGUAAAGCACUUUAAGUUGGGAGGAAGGGCAGUAAGUUAAUACCUUGCUGUUUUGACGUUACCAACAGAAUAAGCACCGGCUAACUUCGUG
rnacentral:rRNA from 1 species